rnacentral:rRNA from 1 species
AGUCGAACGGUAAGGCCUUUCGGGGUCAUACGAGUGGCGAACGGGUGAGUAACACGUGAGCAACCUGCCCUUGACUUCGGAAUACCAGCUGGAAACAGCUGCUAAUACCGGAUAUGACCCUGGUCCUCCUGGACCGGGGUGGAAAGCUCCGGCGGUCAGGGAUGGGCUCGCGGCCUAUCAGCUUGUUGGUGAGGUAAUGGCUCACCAAGGCUUCGACGGGUAGCCGGCCUGAGAGGGCGACCGGCCACACUGGGACUGAGAUACGGCCCAGACUCCUACGGGAGGCAGCAGUGGGGAAUAUUGCACAAUGGGCGCAAGCCUGAUGCAGCAACGCCGCGUGCGGGAUGACGGCCUUCGGGUUGUAAACCGCUUUCAGUAGGGACGAAGCCACAAGUGACGGUACCUACAGAAGAAGGACCGGCUAACUACGUGCCAGCAGCCGCGGUGAUACGUAGGGUCCGAGCGUUGUCCGGAAUUAUUGGGCGUAAAGGGCUUGUAGGCGGUCCGUCGCGUCAGGAGUGAAAACUCGGGGCUUAACCCCGAGCCUGCUUUUGAUACGGGCGGACUAGAGGGAUGCAGGGGAGAACGGAAUUCCUGGUGGAGCGGUGGAAUGCGCAGAUAUCAGGAGGAACACCGGUGGCGAAGGCGGUUCUCUGGGCAUCACCUGACGCUGAGAAGCGAAAGCGUGGGGAGCAAACAGGCUUAGAUACCCUGGUAGUCCACGCCGUAAACGGUGGGCACUAGGUGUGGGGGACAUUCCACGUUCUCCGUGCCGAAGCUAACGCAUUAAGUGCCCCGCCUGGGGAGUACGGCCGCAAGGCUAAAACUCAAAGGAAUUGAC